rnacentral:rRNA from 1 species
UACGGGGAGGGACUAGUCGUGAUUCGAAUAGCUAGGGCGUAAGGCUCGUGAGCGGCCAACUAAGUCAGACGUGAAAUCCUGGAGCUCAACUCCAGAACUGCCUUUGAUACUGAAGAUCUUGAGUUCGGGAGAGGUGAGUGGAACUGCGAGUGUAGAGGUGAAAUUCGUAGAUAUUCGCAAGAACACCAGUGGCGAAGGCGGCUCACUGGCCCGAUACUGACGCUGAGGCACGAAAGCGUGGGGAGCAAACAGG